GAACAUUUUUUAAAUUCCAUUGGACUGAUAAAAUGAAUUGGAAAUGCUUACAUACACACGCACAACACACACACAGAGUGUGUGAUGUAAAUAUAAUAAGAAAGAUAUUUUUGUCAGAGAGAUAAUCAAAUGUUAAAUAAAAGUGAAAUGAAAUCAAGGGUAAAGAAUUUGAACGGGAUUUUAAUUCAGUCGAUUAAUUACUUUCCUUGUUUCUGGAAUGAGACACUUUACGAAACAACACGUUACGAAAUAUCUAACGAGACGAUCACAAAGCAGAUAGACAUUCGAGAAACUCGUGCUGAUAUAUCGCAAGCGUGUAAGUGAAGAAACGUAAAUUGAAUGUGCCCACAUGCCUUCGAAUGAACGAGUUACGCGUUAACGAGCUAAUCGAGAGGGACUGCGAGGGCCGACCACAAGUGCCACUAAAACGAGGGAAAGAGAGAAAAAGAGGUCUCACCGCUAACAUGGCCGAAAAUGAAAUAGAUCGCUGAAACGGCGAAACCGGAAGCAAUUGCGGUCGCUAGGAUGGAGAGUCCACUUCCGGAGACUGCAGUAGAAGAG